GGUACUGUGGUGUUUGUGUUUUUGUAUUUCUAGUUUGUUGCUGUCGUCUCCUGCUUUUCUGUGUUUUUCCCUGUGUUGUGUGUGGCAGGGGGCGUGGCUGGCUGGUGACUGCAGCAGGACGAGACACACCUGCCUCCAAUUCUACCAAUCAUCAUUGCCAUAUAAGCCUGGUCUUCUCGUCACUGCGACGCCAGAUUAUUCCGUCGUCGAUGGACGCGUGGGUGCCUCACUGCUCAGCCCUUCGUCCUUCAACCUGCCGGGACCUUCUAGCCAGCCAGCACCCUGCCUCAUCCAGCCUUGUCAGCAAUAAACUUUGUUCCAUCUCCAUCAA